rnacentral:rRNA from 1 species
UACGAAGGGGGGCUAGCGUUGUUCGGAAUCACUGGGCGUAAAGCGCACGUAGGCGGAUUUUUAAGUCAGGGGGUGAAAUCCCCGAGGCUCAACCUCGGAACUGCCUUUGAUACUGGGGAUCUGGAGUCCGGGAGAGGUGAGCGGAACUGCGAGUGUAGAGGUGAAAUUCGUAGAUAUUCGCAAGAACACCAGUGGCGAAGCGGCUCACUGGCCCGGAAUGAC